rnacentral:rRNA from 1 species
GACGAACGCUGGCGGCGUGCCUAAUACAUGCAAGUAGAACGCUGAAGGAGGAGCUUGCUCUUCUGGAUGAGUUGCGAACGGGUGAGUAACGCGUAGGUAACCUGCCUGGUAGCGGGGGAUAACUAUUGGAAACGAUAGCUAAUACCGCAUAACAGUAGAUGUUGCAUGACAUUUACUUAAAAGGUGCAAUUGCAUCACUACCAGAUGGACCUGCGUUGUAUUAGCUAGUUGGUGGGGUAACGGCUCACCAAGGCGACGAUACAUAGCCGACCUGAGAGGGUGAUCGGCCACACUGGGACUGAGACACGGCCCAGACUCCUACGGGAGGCAGCAGUAGGGAAUCUUCGGCAAUGGACGGAAGUCUGACCGAGCAACGCCGCGUGAGUGAGGAAGGUUUUCGGAUCGUAAAGCUCUGUUGUAAGAGAAGAACGAGUGUGAGAGUGGAAAGUUCACACUGUGACGGUAUCUUACCAGAAAGGGACGGCUAACUACGUG